GAGGCAACGCGCAGAACCUUACCAGCGUUUGACAUCCUGAUCGCGGAUAGUGGAGACACUUUCCUUCAGUUCGGCUGGAUCAGUGACAGGUGCUGCAUGGCUGUCGUCAGCUCGUGUCGUGAGAUGUUGGGUUAAGUCCCGCAACGAGCGCAACCCUCAUCCCUAGUUGCCAUCAUUCAGUUGGGCACUCUAAGGAAACUGCCGGUGAUAAGCCGGAGGAAGGUGGGGAUGACGUCAAGUCCUCAUGGCCCUUACGCGCUGGGCUACACACGUGCUACAAUGGCAACUACAGUGGGCAGCAACCUCGCGAGGGGUAGCUAAUCUCCAAAAGUUGUCUCAGUUCGGAUUGUUCUCUGCAACUCGAGAGCAUGAAGGCGGAAUCGCUAGUAAUCGCGGAUCAGCAUGCCGCGGUGAAUACGUUCCCAGGCCUUGUACACACCGCCCGUCACACCAUGGGAGUUGGUUUCACCCGAAGGCAGUGCUCUAACCCGCAAGGGAGGAAGCUGACCACGGUGGGAUCAGCGACUGGGGUGAAGUCGUAACAAGGUAACCGU
rnacentral:rRNA from 1 species